AUAUCAAUAAGCGGAGGAAAAGAAACCAACAGGGAUUGCCCUAGUAACGGCGAGUGAAGCGGCAACAGCUCAAAUUUGAAAUCUGGCCCCAGGCCCGAGUUGUAAUUUGCAGAGGAUGCUUUUGGCAAAGCGCAUACCGAGUCCCCUGGAACGGGGCGCCACAGAGGGUGAGAGCCCCGUAUGGUACGACGCCGAGCCUCUGUAAAGCUCCUUCGACGAGUCGAGUAGUUUGGGAAUGCUGCUCUAAAUGGGAGGUAAAUUUCUUCUAAAGCUAAAUACCGGCCAGAGACCGAUAGCGCACAAGUAGAGUGAUCGAAAGAUGAAAAGCACUUUGAAAAGAGGGUUAAAUAGCACGUGAAAUUGUUGAAAGGGAAGCGCUCGUGACCAGACUUGCGCCGGGCGGAUCAUCCAGCGUUCUCGCUGGUGCACUCCGCCCGGCUCAGGCCAGCAUCGGUUUUCGCCGGGGGACAAAAGCUUCGGGAACGUGGCUCCCUUCGGGGAGUGUUAUAGCCCGUCGUUUAAUACCCCGGCGGGGACCGAGGACCGCGCUUCGGCAAGGAUGCUGGCGUAAUGGUCAUCAGCGACCCGUCUUGAAACACGGACCGAGGAGUCAAGCAUUAGUGCGAGUGUUUGGGUGUAAAACCCGCACGCGUAAUGAAAGUGAACGUAGGUGAGAGCUUCGGCGCAUCAUCGACCGAUCCUGAUGUUUUCGGAUGGAUUUGAGUAGGAGCAUUAACGCUUGGACCCGAAAGAUGGUGAACUAUACUUGAAUAGGGUGAAGCCAGAGGAAACUCUGGUGGAGGCUCGCAGCGGUUCUGACGUGCAAAUCGAUCGUCAAAUUUGAGUAUAGGGCGAAAGACUAAUCGA
rnacentral:rRNA from 1 species